UUGGCCCUGAAUCAAGACCAACAGUUUGCUGAAGCUGUUGGUUUCAAGCAGGAGCCUAAAGAAAUGUCUUAUCUGGCCUGUUGACCAUUUCAGAACUGCGCAAAUGUAAUGGUCAAUUCAUUGGGAAGAAACAUCA
rnacentral:snoRNA from 1 species